UUAAAAUGUUUUGUAAGACGCUGUCCUUCAAUGGUUCAAUGGUUCGUAAGAUGGGAUACUUAUUUUUAUAGAUAUACAUGUUUACACAAUGAUAUACAGUACAUUACUUUCUCUGGAUUAUGUUAACACCUAUUCUUGUUCACUGCCGCACAGGAUUUGGAUCCGAUUUGGACAGACAGUAAUUCCCCAGCCAGUCUUCAGGAAGAAGAGACUGAAGAAGACGACUGGAGGCGUCUGCAGCCAUCAACAUAAAUUGGCAAAGCGCAACUUAGAUUUUAGUAACUCCAGGAGGUUACUGGUCCCAGCUAAGAGAUAGUUAGGAAUAUAACCCUCUUUAAGGCUUUGCUGUUUAGCUUUGUAUCUCAUGUACAGACACAUGAGUUGCAUUAUUUCAUUAAUUCAAUUCUUCGCAAGAUAGGAAUUUGCUUAUUCUCUAUAACUGUCAAGCUAUUGCUUUAAGCAUUACCCUGAACUACACUAAAUCUUUGACAAACUAUUUAAAAAGUUUGUAUUGGAGUUACCUAAUUUGUGAACAUCCAACAUAAACACUAUGCACAGCUUCAUGGUUUUAGCCAAAAUCUGUUUACAUUUCAGUAAAGAUGCUUCUGUUAAAGCUCAAUAAUACAUUUUGUUUGUCAUACUUGACAUACCUAUCAAGAGCCUUUUUUUUUUUUUUACUUAGGGCAAACCACUCAAAUUAUAUUCAUAAAACAGAUAGUACCAGUCCUUCAUUAAGACGUGAGUCACGUUCAAAGCUGUUGUAAAAUACUCUAUAGACACACAGCUGUGAACACUGUGCCACCUGUUGUUUCAAAAUGUCGGAUUUUGUUAAAACCUUGCGUACCUGUAAUCCCAAAUCUACCUGUAAAUGUGCGCAGCUGGUUCAGCCUCACGUCCCGCCCUCUACACGCCCACAUUCAACCAUAAAUGUUCAAUGCAAAGCAGAUAGCUGUUACAGUUUGUCUGUGUACAGUAUGCUGGAUCUUUCACUAUGGAAUAAACCAUAAAUUAAUAAAUAAAGUUGUGUUCACUGCAGCGAUUUUACUCACAAACACUUAAUAAAAACUAAAAUCAUACAUGUGAUAUGUGCACAGUAUUAGAAGAUUAUUGAAAACUAAUGAUGCUCUGCUCUGCAGUUCUUCAACACUAGUUGACUGUAUUUUACAGAUGAUGAUAAUUUCAUCAGCUGCUCCACAGCUGACCACGAGAGUCGAUAGUUCGGCCCUCUCCUCUGUGCUGAGGAGAGCAGACAGCGCUAAUGAAAUAUCAAGCGAAAUUUGAUUUGAUUCGUCAAGUUUGUUUAUAUAGAUCACAACUUUUGCGUGGGAAGUGGCGUACGCCUCUUUCAGACCCCGUUUUGUGCGUACGCAACGGUUAUAAACGAGACCCCUGGCUAUUGAUUUUGAAACAAUCACCAAAAUGGAGCGAAACCAGGCUCUCCGACACUUUUAUGCCAAUGAUCCACCUCUCAGCCUAUCCUGGUGUCUGUUGAAAGAUCCAGAGUGUAUCACUGGCAACAAAGGUUUUCGUUGGAUUGGUGAAAAAGCUCGAGAAGGAUGAGACAAAAAAACAGCAACGUUGUUCCUACAAAUGCACAAACAAAAAAAAACACGAUUCCGUCGAAUGAAACCAAGAGAGCCGACAGGGAUUCAUGUUUGAGCAGCCUAGGAAGCCACUACUGUGUCCCAUCACUUCAUUUUGAGAAAUACCUGUCGUUGCUUUCUUCGGGCCUUUUAUCUCCAUCCAAAGUGGACAAACUACAUCAAUGAUCUGUGGUAAGUUGAUACAACAAUUGUAGCAUUGUUUACAAGUUAACAAUAGCUUUUUGUAGAUUUGUAGCCCAUUAUGCCAACUUUUCUCUCGCUAUGUCGUUAAUUGCAAGCAAUAUCUUUUUUGUUAAAGUGUAGCUUGGUUAGUGUAAUGGAAAACCCUCUAAUUAUGCACAAUGUAACCACGUUUACAUCCCUUAUUUUGAUCAUGCUGAAUCCGGUACAAUGCAACCUUUGAAUGAAUGAAUCCUGGCAGCUAACGGUGCUAAUAGCGCUAACAGUGCAAACAAACGAAAGUAACGACAGAGCUCACAGUCUUUAAUUAUAUCCUGGUUUGUCAAAAUGAAGGUGGUAGGGUUAACAAUGACACCAGCUUUGGCUGACCUGAAACUGCUUGUGUAAAAAUAUUGGGCGGAAGAACAUUCCAUUAUUUCCAUCCCACACAAUGACUUAUCCUCUAUUUACGGUGUGGAGUUUAGAUGGUAUGAAUCAUAACCAUGGGAUGUUACUUAUCUGUGUUCUCGCUCAGUUGAAAUAGAGGACCUAAGUGGACCAACAUGCAAAGAGGGAACGUCUCAUCAACAUUUUGUUGACGGAUCUCAUGAAAAGAGGUAUGUUAUGAUUUGAAUAAAGAGAUAUAUAGUAUGUUGUCCGACAUGGUGAUGUUUGGUAUGUUUGGGUCAAUUAGUCCUCCGAGAGGUAUAACUUUCUGUUUGAACAAACUGUUGGAACUUCAAUAAGGGAAAUUCGGGAGGAGUAGUGCUGCACAAAAAGUUCUGAUGUGAUGUUUUUUAUGGAGGGAGAGAGGUACUUUUAUUGUUUUCACAAGAGUGUUGUUUUUCAAAUAAAUAAGAUAACUACAAAUCAUAAAUUACCCACAUUAACCGAGCAAGCAGGGGUUUCUUUCUUUUUACCAAGAGGCACGAGAGAACCAGAACCAGGGCUGAGUGGAGCAGACUGUCAGACCCUGCUGCUGUAAAGUUAGAGGUUUUCUAAAGGGACUCUGGUGCUCAGAAACACUCCCACUUUCGGCAACAAGAGCCACCAAAAUUGUGAAACUUCCUUAGUAACGUAUACAGCACAUCUAUUUCACAACAUUUGAUGAAAACAAUUACAGUUACAAUAUGGCGGGUCAAAUUGCAACACAUUUCUUGAAACUUGAAGUAGUCCAUCCCACAAAAUGGCCGCCUUCCCAUUUUUAGACUUUCUGUAAAGCAAAAGGAGGAAUCUGCAACCAGCUGAGCUUUUAGACACCAACACAGUCAGCUGAUCAUCAUAUUUCUCUGAUGAUUUGUCGCAUCUUGGAGAUAAAGCGUGAUUGGUAAUUAUCCUAUGAACAUAAAGGCAUUUGCUAAAUUUGAACUACAUUUGAACACAAAGUGUUGAGUCACAGUAACUUGUACUAGUUUAGAUACAAAGCUUUUGCCUCCAGUUCUCAAGGUUUGUCCCAGUUCACUGUGGACAAAGAGUGUGACUUUAACAAAGGACCCUAAUUCAAAUCACGUCUCCUACUAACAGUCAACAUGUUGUUGUGUGAUUUCCAUGAAAGGCAAUCUUUUUUUUUUAGCCUUGACCAAGUAGUUUUAGUUGCCUGAACACGCAGCAUCUCUGUAUCUGGUUGUGCUUUCUCACUUUGCAGCUUUUUUUUCUAAAUGCAGCACACGUGUUGUCAAAUUGGUGAAGAUGUUCUCUUCAUGUACCUCUGUUCUCUACAAUACUUGGAGCAUUUAUAAAGAUAUAGAGGAGUAAUGUCUUCCUGAGCAGAGAAUGAAGUUGCUCUCCCUCUGUGUGUGUGUUGUAGUCCGAGCUUCUCUUUGCUUUGUUUACCAAGCCGGGCCGGCUGCGCUUGCCUUUAGUGCAUUGUGCGUGCAUGUUAAUGCAUGCGAGCGUGCCCCGCUGGUUAGCUCCUGGCCUCCACACUGCGCUCAUACAGCUGUUACAGCUGCUAACGGUGUUACGGCUGAUAAGCAGUCGUCUAAGAAGCGUAGCGCCCACCGUUAAACACUGUUUAGCCGUUGCCAUGUUGAGAGCCGUGAGGAAUCAAAAGAAUUGUUAUGAAUUUAGAUUUUAGCCCCUUUAAGUAGCAGUGAAGCUCUCAUGGCCACUGUAGAAGGAUUCUUGGGAACUGAAACUGAUAGAUUUGCUGACCUUGAAUUUAUUUUUAUUUCGAAAUACAGAAGUACUUGCAGAAGUGCAUGUCAUUAUGUCUAUUCCAGACAAUUCCUUAUCGUCUAUUUAGGGUGGGAAGUUCCUGUGGUUUGAAUCAUAACCAAGAGACGGUACUUAUCUGAAACAGAGGACCAAAGCUGACCAACAUGAACGAAGGAAAGGUCAAGAUUUUGUAAGGAUCUAAAAAAAAGAAAAAAGAUAUCCAUUGAAUGCGUGGACAACGCUGAUGGACUUCCUGGUGAAAUCAUCUACGAUGAUAUGACAUUUCCCAUUCCUUAUCAACAAGUAAGGUUUAUACUAUUUAGUUUGAAGUGACAUGUAUUGGAUUUGGGAGGACUAGUGCUGCGUAAGAAGGAGCAGAAGCAGUAGUGAACCGAAUGAAUCAGAGUCGUGUGUGGUAGCAACAUUAGCAGCUAGCGUACAUUGAAAGUGACAUUUUUCUUAACCGAUAAAUAUAUUUUUGCUGCAGUUAGAUUUAUGUA